CCAGAAAACAGUGUUAUUAGGGACAGCUAGGAUACUUAGGAGGGUUCUUGGCAUCUAAGGUUACUUCUUGUAGCCCGAUGUUUGGACGUUUUCUAUUCCAACAGUCUAAUCUGUUGUGAAUAUAUGG